UACAGAGGGUGCAAGCGUUAAUCGGAAUGACUGGGCGUAAAGGGCAUGUAGGUGGACCUAUAAGUUAGAUGUGAAAUCCCUGGGCUUAACCUAGGAAGGUCAUCUAAUACUGUAGGACUAGAGUACGGGAGAGGGAAGUGGAAUUUCAGGUGUAGCGGUGAAAUGCGUAGAUAUCUGAAGGAACACCAGUGGCGAAGGCGGCUUCCUGGUCUGAUACUGACACUGAGGUGCGAAAGCGUGGGGAGCGAACAGG
rnacentral:rRNA from 1 species